GGAUAGUUGCUUGAGUGGCCGAAAAGGUUAGUCUCGAAAACUAAUAAUGUCGAAAGACAUUCAAGGGUUCAAAUCCCUUACUAUCCGCCA
rnacentral:tRNA from 2 species